rnacentral:rRNA from 1 species
GACGAACGCUGGCGGCGUGCCUAAUACAUGCAAGUAGAACGCUGAAGGAGGAGCUUGCUCUUCUGGAUGAGUUGCGAACGGGUGAGUAACGCGUAGGUAACCUGCCUGGUAGCGGGGGAUAACUAUUGGAAACGAUAGCUAAUACCGCAUAAGAGUAGAUGUUGCAUGACAUUUGCUUAAAAGGUGCAAUUGCAUCACUACCAGAUGGACCUGCGUUGUAUUAGCUAGUUGGUGGGGUAACGGCUCACCAAGGCGACGAUACAUAGCCGACCUGAGAGGGGGAUCGGCCACACUGGGACUGAGACACGGCCCAGACUCCUACGGGAGGCAGCAGUAGGGAAUCGUCGGCAAUGGACGGAAGUCUGAACGAGCAACGCCGCGUGAGUGAAGAAGGUUUUCGGAUCGUAAAGCUCUGUUGUAAGAGAAGAACGAGUGUGAGAGUGGAAAGUUCACACUGUGACGGUAUCUUACCAGAAAGGGACGGCUAACUACGUG